rnacentral:lncRNA from 1 species
UUUUAUAAGGUAGAUAAGCCAGAGAGAAGGCAUAGCACAACGACAUCACGACGGCAGCACAACGUUUUAUAAGCUACAUAAGCCAGAGAGAAGAGAUGGCACGACAGCAGCACGAUGGCAGCACAACGUUUUAUACGCUACAUAAGCCAGAGAGAAGGCAUAGCACAACGACAUCACGACGGCAGCACAACGUUUUAUAAGCUACAUAAGCCAGAGAGAAGAGACGGCACAACGGCAGCACAACGGUAUCACGACUGUGUUAUUCUAGUAACUUUUUUUUGCCUUAUUUAUAUAUUUUCUUUUGUUAUUCUAUUCAUUUUUGAUUUUUCAUUUCAGUUUUAUAAGGUAGAUAAGCCAGAGAGAAGGCAUAGCACAACGACAUCACGACGGCAGCACAACGGUAUCACGACUUUGUUAUUCUAGCAAGUUUUUUUGCCUUAUUUAUAUCAGUUUUUUACGUUAUUUUAUUCAUUUUUGAUUUUUGAUUUCAGUUUUAUAAGCUAAGCUAGAGAGAAGAGACAGCACAAGGACAUCACGACGGCUGCACGGCGACAGCAACUAUUAAUAUUAUUAUUAUUAACUUGUUCUCGCAACUUUUUUUGCCUUAUUCAUAUUUUUAUUUGAUGUUAUUCUUUUAAUUUUUGAUUUUUCAUUUCAGUUUUAUAAGCUAGAUAAGGCAGAGAGAAGAGACGGCACAACGGCAGCACAACGGUAUCACGAGUGUUAUUCUAGCAACUGUUUUUUGCCUUAUUUAUAGAUAUUUUUACGUUAUUUUAUUCAUUUUUGAUUUUUAAUUUCAGUUUUAUAAGGUAGAUAAGCCAGAGAGAAGAGACGGCACAACGACAUCACGACGGCAGCACAACGGUAUCACGACUGUGUUAUUCUAGCAAGUUUUUUUGCCUUUAUUUAUAGAUAUUUUUCCGUUAUUUUAUUCAUUUUUAAUUUUUAAUUUCAGUUUUAUAAGCUACAUAAGCCAGAGAGAAGGCAUAGCACAACGACAUCACGACGGCAGCACAACGGUAUCACGACUGUGUUCUUCUAGCAAGUUUUUUUGCCUUAUUUAUAGAUAUUUUUUACGUUAUUUUAUUCAUUUUUAAUUUUUCAUUUCAGUUUUAUAAGCUAGAUGAGCGAGAGAGAAGAGACAGCUGCACGACUGCAGCGCGCACAGCGACAGCUCAACAAAACUAUUCAAAAAUUUAAUUCACUAAUUGUAUUUGUUGAAAUUCACUUUUGA